CAGAGCGCCACCACGUCGCUGCACAGCGUCUCCGGGGUAACGGGGACCUCGAGGACCUGCUGGUCACUGCUGCUGAGGUACACGGUGAGCGAGUCGCUGAUCACUAACGACGCCCGAUGGAGACGCAGUGUCCUCCAUUUUGGAUCUGUGUGUUCUCCGUAACCAAUCAGAGCAUUGCACCCAAAACGAGUGGCGAGCAGAACCUCGUGAACACGGCCCGCUGCGUCGCUACGGCGCGGCAGAUGGCGUCGCCGUGGUUACGCUCCACGCUCCACCCGCCUCCUCCUCCUUCACGGACGCCUCCCGCGCCGUUCAGGACUAUAACAGAUAUAUUUGUGGACAUAACUCCCAUGAUGCACUGGGGCCAUCUGUUACUCCAGCAGGCCUCAGCUGAAGAAACUGAGAGGAUGAGCUGGCCGGCCUCAGACAGGAAGGAGCUGUCCUACAUGAGGAAACUGGAGCGCCGCUUCCUCCUCCAGGCAGGAAGUGGGUCGCUGCCGUCAGGCGGGAAACCCGAAGCCGACCGGGAACCCGCCGCCUGUCCCUCGGGACGCCGACGACGAGGCAGAGUGAGACCUCCUGUCGUCAGCUCCAUACGUCCCUGGGAGGUGUCUGUCUGUCUGUCUGUUGUCUGUGUGUCUGCCUCAUUAACUCGUGAGCAGCUCUUAAUCCAGGAGUUAGCUCAGCGUCCUGCAGCUUAAAGCCGCCGACACACAACAAUAACAAUAACAUGAGGAAAUUAAUGGAGGCCUGAAACACGUCAACAACAACAACAAGGAUUCACCGACAUGGAGCCUCAACAGGCAUCGAACACACGGCACACAGCUCACUGUGUGGGUCUCAAGUAACAUCCUUCAUUAGGGUGUUAUCAUGUUAGGGCUCAUACCCUCCUUCAUUUGAGAGGGAGAGGGGGAGGGAGAAAGGGAGAUAGAGAAAGAGAGAGAUCAUGCAACAACAGGUCUGGAGGCCAGAAUCGAACACACGGUUCUGGUUCAAUGACCCUGAAACCAGUCGAUCACCAAUGAGCUCCAACUGGUGUUUGUACGUCUGAUUUAAGGAGUUGUUGUUGUUGUUGUUGUUGUUUUCUUUAAUGCAAAGUGCCGGUCAGACAGUUUGUGAUUUUAAUCACACAUUUUUACUGUUACUUUAAAAACAAAAAUAAUUUUGAAGAGAAACAUGUUUUCAUUCUCUUCUUAUUUGUUAAAUACCUCGUAUCAUUGAUGUGAUUAUAUCCCUAAUAUUUAUAUCUAAAUAUAAAAGGUUUAAUUUUAUCUUCACUAAAUAAUUUUCUCUUUAACAGUUUUGAAAACACACGUUUACGAAAAAUAAGAUCUAAAACGUCGAGGCAAACAGGCGGCAGCUGCCACCUCCCAAAUGUUGAGGAGCCAUAUGGCCGACAUGCGUCACGUGACCACCGGAAGAGGAUUAAUGAGACACACACACACACACACACACACACACACACACACACACACACACACACACACCUGCUGUUCAGGAAUCACAGUCAGCUCUUGUUGUGAGCUCGGGCGCUGCGCUCUGAUUGGCCGCCGGCUGCGGAGCAUCAUCUCCCAGAGUCACUAAUUAGCCGCUAAUUGAUCGUCUGUCGCUGCGGGAAUCGAGUCGCCGGGUAAAAUCCCCGACGACCGAUCGACCAACGGGCAAGCUGCCUUUUGUCUGAGGCCGACGCCCCUAAACCCAAAGGCCCGUCGAAUUACACCGUGACGUGAACGGAUUAACGACGCAGUCAAACCGGGUCAGAGGAACAGAAUCAAAAGGACCCUCCCCCCCCUCCCCUCUGGUACCAGAAGAGUUAAGGACCCGGUACCGGAAAAGUUAAGGACCCGGUACCAGGAGAGUUAAGGACCGGAACCGGAAGAGUUAAGGAUCCGGAACCAGAAGAGUUCAGGACCUGGUACCGGAAAAGUUAAGGACCCGGAACCAGAAGAGUUAAGGACCGGUACCGGAAGAGUUAAGGACCCGGUACCGGAAAAGUUAAGGACCCGGUACCAGAAGAGUUAAGGACCGGAACCAGAAGAGUUAAGGACCCGGAACCAGAAGAGUUAAGGACCGGUACCAGGAGAGUUAAGGACCCGGUACCAGAAGAGUUAAGGACCGGAACCAGAAGAGUUAAGGACCCGGAACCAGAAGAGUUAAGGACCCAGUACCGGAAAAGUGAAGGAUCCGGAACCAGGAGAGUUAAGGACCCGGUACCAGAAUCUUUUCAUCUUUGUAUUUCCCUGUAAUCUGGUUCCCUUUCACAGAGUUCCUCAUCGUGAGGAAUACCGGCUUUCAAACUCUUCCCGCAUGACCUUGAACAGUGUGUGUGUGUGUGUGUGUGCGUGUGUGUGUGUGUUUCUGGUCACUGUGGCAAACAGUUACCAAGCAGCAAGGCGAGCUCUGCACGCCUGCAAGACGAGGCUGUGGGCUAACAACCAGCAAGGAAGCACGAAACAUCUCAGGGAUGAUUUCAGCUUUUUUUUCGGGAGUCGAGCACCUGAACCCGACGACCGUCACUGAGACGAUGUGUGUGUGUGUGUGUGUGUGUGUGUGUUUUCUUCCUGUUGUCAGGGCUGCAGCUCUCUGAAUGCCAGUCACUGUCACACGCUGCUGUGUGAAUAACAAUCAGGGUUCAGGAAGGAGAACUCCAGCUCUCUGGUUCCUCCAGCGGGCCUUCCUCCUCUUCCUCUUCCUCCAUCUACUCGUGUUCCUCAUUUCAUCAUUUAACACGCGACCGACCCGACAUGGCUCUUCUGACCCACAAUCCUUUGCGGCGCAUGAUGUUUGAGCGAGAGGGUCAAAGUCCAAGACGGCCCGCGUUGCUCUGCUGCCUCGGUAGUGAGUCUGCACACGGGCCUCUAAACCCUGAGUCUGACCUUCAAGGCUCGACCUUCAUUUUUAGAAGUUCAUGGAGCUCCGCAGGAAAAACAUGGAUUAUCUUUUUAAACAUUUUUUUCUUUAAAGAGGUGAAUGCAAAUCACUGGAAUGGAUUUAGAUGUAAUAUGUUUUGUUGUUGUUGAUUGAAGUCGUGCUUCCCCUUAAGCCCCGCCCACCGUACCGAGGGUUUGAUCUCACAGGAGAAGCCUGAGGAGAGUCUACAUUUCUUGUUCACUAAUAUUAACUAUUAUGAACUAUUUAGAGCCAAAUCAUAACAAGUAUCCUGUGCCUGAUGUCCGUCCGUCCAUCACACACACACACACACACACACACACCUUCCUGCUGCCACAAACACUCACUGUAGGUCACUAAAUGUGGAUUCAUCCGCCGUUGAAAAUAGUCCCCAUGCAUAACGCUCCAUUUCCUCCUGUUUGUUUGAUUAAAAAACUACAGCAGCA